UACAGAGGUCCCAAGCGUUGUUCGGAUUCACUGGGCGUAAAGGGUGCGUAGGUGGCGGGGUAAGUUUGAUGUGAAAUCUCCGAGCUCAACUCGGAAAUGGCAUUGAAUACUACUCUGCUCGAGGUUUGGAGGGGGGACUGGAAUUCUCGGUGUAGCAGUGAAAUGCGUAGAUAUCGAGAGGAACACCAGUGGCGAAGGCGGCACACUGGACCACCACUGACGCUGAUGCGCGAAAGCCAGGGGAGCAAACGGG
rnacentral:rRNA from 1 species